rnacentral:tRNA from 1 species
GCGCCCGUAGCUCAAUGGAUAGAGCACGGGAUUUCUAAUCCCGUGGUUGCAGGUUCGAGUCCUGCCGGGCGCGCCA